GACGAACGCUGGCGGCGUGCUUAACACAUGCAAGUCGAACGAUGAAACCUAGCUUGCUAGGUCGAUUAGUGGCGAACAGGUGAGUAACACGUGACUAACCUGCCCCUUUCUCUGGGAUAACGCUUCGAAAGGAGUGCUAAUACCGGAUACUCACAUCGAGGCACAUGCCUUGAUGUGGAAAGUUUUUCGGAAAGGGAUGGAGUCGCGGCCUAUCAGCUUGUUGGUGAGGUAACGGCUCACCAAGGCGACGACGGGUAGCCGGCCUGAGAGGGCGACCGGCCACACUGGGACUGAGACACGGCCCAGACUCCUACGGGAGGCAGCAGUGGGGAAUAUUGCACAAUGGGCGCAAGCCUGAUGCAGCGACGCCGCGUGAGGGAUGAAGGUCUUCGGAUUGUAAACCUCUUUCAGUAGGGACGAAGCGAAAGUGACGGUACCUAAAGAAGAAGCACCGGCUAACUACGUGCCAGCAGCCGCAGUAA
rnacentral:rRNA from 1 species